UGAGCUCGCACUGACACAUUUUCUAAUUUACGUGGAGACUCGGUCAGAGUGCGUUGAGCUUUACAAAUCUUUGCUGGCGUAUUGUCCGGUGCAUCCUUUUGCUCUUCACUGGAUUGACAAGACGCUAACAUCAAAAUCAGCAAAUGCAAGUUUACGAAAUGCUUGCAAUAAAAAUUCAGCCACAGUUGAUCGUGUAAUUGAGUAUAUCGUCAAGGCAUGUGGAACGAAAGUAGGCGGCGUUGCGAACACAAGUGGAAGUGAAGGACCUUACUUCUCGAGUAAAUUGGACAACAAGUCCCCCGCGUCUUUGAAAGUAAUGAGCAUUUGGGCUUCAAGAAUGGCUAUAGCAGCAUCCAGGGUCACAAAAUCACUGUCGUUGCCAGUGUACAUUAAGAAACUCGGAGAGAGAGGAUUUCUACCAAUGGGACUCGCCCACGAAUUGCUCGUCUUUCCUCC